AUGCCUCACCUGGCCACAGACCCUGGGGCAGAGCUGGGGUGCCGGGUCCAGGUAUCCAGGCCCCAGCACACUCACCGCCUCCUCAAACUGGCGCUUGUAGCUCUUGACCUUGCUCUGCAGCUUGUCCACCAGGUCCUGCAUGCGAGCCAGGUUCUUCCUGUCCUCCUCGGCCUGGGCAGGCAAGGGGGACUCAGGGCUUGCUUAGGCUGGGCCAGCUCCAGGGCCACUCCCGAGGGAGACCCGGUUACCCACCUGGUAUGCGAGCUCCUUGACGCGGCGCUCAUGCUUACGCACGCCCUUAAGGGCCUCAGCGUGCUUCUUCUGCUCUGCGUCGAGCUCGGCCUCCAGCUCCCGUACCUGCAGGCAGGGGUACCGCCUGUUGCCCAGCCCACCCCUGGGUCACCCACCCUGCCUGGGCCAAGGACUAGAGGGGCCGCACACACCUUGGCCUCCAGCUUCUGCACCUGCUUCUUCCCGCCACGGAGGGCGGCCUGUUCUGCCUCCUCAAGGCGGGCCUGGAGCUCGCGCACCGUCUGCUCCAGUGUCUUCUUCAUCCGCUCCAGGUGUGCGCUUGUGUCCUGCUCCUUCUUCAGCUCCUCGGCCAUCAUGGCUGCCUUUGGGGGAGAAGGGGCUGGUCAGGUGCCCCGCCUCAGGGAAGUCCCUCUGCAUUGUCCCAGGCUUCCCACAGCCCUUGCCCAGCCUCACAUCCGUGAUGGCCUUUUUGGCCUUCUCCUCAGCCUCCCGCCUCUCCUGUGCAGCCUCCUCCACCUCCCCGCUCAGCUGGGCCAAGUCUGCCUCCAGCUUCUUCUUUUGGUUCAGGAGGCCUGUGUUCUGAGGGGAAGCAGAGUCUCAGAGCCAGCCAACAGGCCUGCACCUGCUCUGUCCCCAGGGACUCCUGUCCCCACCUGCGAAUGCAGGAGGUUGAGGCGCUCGGUGGCCUCCAACAGCUCCUGCUCUGCCAGCCGCCGGCUGCGCUCGCCCUGCUCCAGGGCAGCCCGCAGCUCCUCCAGUUCAUGGCCAGCAGCGCAGCCCGGCUCAGAGCCUGUGCUUGCUCGCGGAGCUCAGCUGCCAGCCGCUGUUCCUCGUCCCGCCCUGCCUGCUCCUCCUUGA
rnacentral:lncRNA from 1 species